GUCCCUGCAGUGCAAUGGAUAGCGCGUUGGACUUCUAAUCCAAAAGUCGUGGGUAUAAAUCCCACCUGAGAUG